AACAGGAUUAGAUACCCUGGUAGUCCACGCCGUAAACGAUGUCGACUUGGAGGCUGUUCCCUUGAGGAGUGGCUUCCGGAGCUAACGCGUUAAGUCGACCGCCUGGGGAGUACGGCCGCAAGGUUAAAACUCAAAUGAAUUGACGGGGGCCCGCACAAGCCGUGGAGCAUGUGGUUUAAUUCGAUGCAACGCGAAGAACCUUACCUGGCCUUGACAUCCACGGAAUUUGGCAGAGAUGCCUUAGUGCCUUCGGGAACCGUGAGACAGGUGCUGCAUGGCUGUCGUCAGCUCGUGUUGUGAAAUGUUGGGUUAAGUCCCGCAACGAGCGCAACCCUUAUCCUUUGUUGCCAGCGAUUCGGUCGGGAACUCAAAGGAGACUGCCGGUGAUAAACCGGAGGAAGGUGGGGAUGACGUCAAGUCAUCAUGGCCCUUACGAGUAGGGCUACACACGUGCUACAAUGGCGCAUACAAAGAGAAGCGACCUCGCGAGAGCAAGCGGACCUCAUAAAGUGCGUCGUAGUCCGGAUCGGAGUCUGCAACUCGACUCCGUGAAGUCGGAAUCGCUAGUAAUCGUGGAUCAGAAUGCCACGGUGAAUACGUUCCCGGGCCUUGUACACACCGCCCGUCACACCAUGGGAGUGGGUUGCAAAAGAAGUAGGUAGCUUAACCUUCGGGAGGGCGCUUACCACUUUGUGAUUCAUGACUGGGGUGAAGUCGUAACAAGGUAAC
rnacentral:rRNA from 1 species